rnacentral:rRNA from 1 species
GACGAACGCUGGCGGCGUGCUUAACACAUGCAAGUCGAACGGAAAGGCCCUGCUUUUGUGGGGUGCUCGAGUGGCGAACGGGUGAGUAACACGUGAGUAACCUGCCCUUGACUUUGGGAUAACUUCAGGAAACUGGGGCUAAUACCGGAUAGGAGCUCCUGCUGCAUGGUGGGGGUUGGAAAGGUUCGGCGGUUGGGGAUGGACUCGCGGCUUAUCAGCUUGUUGGGGGGGUAGUGGCUUACCAAGGCUUUGACGGGUAGCCGGCCUGAGAGGGUGACCGGCCACAUUGGGACUGCGAUACGGCCCAGACUCCUACGGGAGGCAGCAGUGGGGAAUAUUGCACAAUGGGCGGAAGCCUGAUGCAGCAACGCCGCGUGCGGGAUGCCGGCCUUCGGGUUGUAAACCGCUUUCGCCUGUGACGAAGCGUGAGUGACGGUAAUGGGUAAAGAAGCACCGGCUAACUACGUG